rnacentral:lncRNA from 1 species
UGUUUUACAACGCUUUUGUUGUCACCCCCUACUGAUCUGAAAUCCAACAAUCCAAUCACAUCUUUGGAUUCUUUUUUGUAAUUGUGGAGGAAAAUAGUUUGGAAGAUGGAAAAGCUUACAUUAAGCAGCUGGAAAUAUUAUAAUAUUAUAUUACUUUGAUUUCAACCAGGCGCAGAGAUGAUGUCUCAUUGCAGAGGGGGCGAGCUCCUGUAGUGGGCCCUUAAAAGUGCUAAUGGGAAAGCUGUAUUGACAACCUCGAGGCUGGGAGGGCGGAACGGAGAGAAAUGCGGAUUACAAUGAGUGUUCAUGUGACCCUGCCCCCACUGCAUACACACACGCGAUUGGCUGAAGCCAGGAGAUCUAUGAGCGCUCCACUGACUGCUGCACGAGGGAUUUUGCGAAUGACCUGCGUUUGAAAAUGCUGGCAAAGGUGGAAUAUGGAGGAGUCACAAAGUAUAUCAAAGUUCCACAAACAGAUGAAAACUUUGAUUUCAGCCAGUUUCUUCAAGAGGUAACCGAAAAAUUUAGUCUGCAGGUUCAACUUGUGACUGUCCUUAGCUUGACUGACACAUCAGAUACUGAGGUUGAUGCAGACAUAUUUGAUGAGCUUAUCAAAUCAGGGGUGCGAAACUUCAAAGUUGGAUACCGCAAGCACCCAGUAACAGAUAUUGCUGUUCUUUUGGUUGAAUCCGAGUCAGAAUCAUCUGUACAGCCAGACCCAUCGGCAUCUCCAGCAUCAAUUCCUGUCCCCCCAGUAUCGCCAGCUUCACUGCAAGACUUUUCAACAGCAUCACCAUCUUCUUCCUGUUCAUCAGAGUCUACUAUUAUCCUCUCAACCACUAAGAACAGGAAGAGGGCCAUGACAGAGCUGGAUCGCAAUGAAGCAAAACAGAAGGUUCAAAGUGUUCUGAGCACAAAUCCAAAGGGUGAAGAAAUCUUCAGAGAGUAUGACAAAACUAAAACGCUGUCAGAUGCAACACGCAAACAAAUGGGCAACAUUCUUGUCGCAGAAAUGAUAGAAUCAUAUGGGUAA